UAAACAAGACUCCCGACAAGCUGUAUCAAACAGUGGCAAAUAACUAAAGCAGAAAUUAAACAGCAGCAAAUUGAGACCUUUGGAGAUCAAACCAACACCGAAAAUGCUUGAGCGAAGUCGGAGAAAGCACCGGUCAGCAAACAGACAAGCCACGCGCCGCCACUUGUCGACGCAUGAGAGAUCUCCAGAAACCAAAAAGCGGUGCGUGAAGGCCACUAGCACAAAACCAGGCCAUCGGAUUUUAAGGAUCGGCUGAAAACACUACUGUGAUCCUUCCUAAGGCAGCAGUGAGACUCAAAGGUCACCGGAACUAGUGACUUUAAACAGAGGCAGAACAGGUUGUAGAGAGAAAAGAGAGACCCCAUAAACUAGAAAAUAAAAGCUUUACG
rnacentral:misc_RNA from 1 species